rnacentral:rRNA from 1 species
UUAUACCGUGAAACUGCGAAUGGCUCAUUAAAUCAGUUAUCGUUUAUUUGAUAGUACCUUACUACUUGGAUAACCGUGGUAAUUCUAGAGCUAAUACAUGCUAAAAACCCCAACUUCGGGAGGGGUGUAUUUAUUAGAUAAAAAACCAAUGCCCUUCGGGGCUCCUUGGUGAUUCAUGAUAACUUAACGGAUCGCAUGGCCUUGCGCCGGCGACGGUUCAUUCAAAUUUCUGCCCUAUCAACUUUCGAUGGUAAGGUAUUGGCUUACCAUGGUUUCAACGGGUAACGGGGAAUUAGGGUUCGAUUCCGGAGAGGGAGCCUGAGAAACGGCUACCACAUCCAAGGAAGGCAGCAGGCGCGCAAAUUACCCAAUCCCGACACGGGGAGGUAGUGACAAUAAAUACUGAUACAGGGCUCUUUUGGGUCUUGUAAUUGGAAUGAGUACAAUUUAAACCCCUUAACGAGGAACAAUUGGAGGGCAAGUCUGGUGCCAGCAGCCGCGGUAAUUCCAGCUCCAAUAGCGUAUAUUAAAGUUGUUGCAGUUAAAAAGCUCGUAGUUGAACCUUGGGCCUGGCUGGCCGGUCCGCCUCACCGCGUGUACUGGUCCGGCCGGGCCUUUCCUUCUGGAGAGCCUCAUGCCCUUCACUGGGUGUGCUGGGGAACCAGGACUUUUACUUUGAAAAAAUUAGAGUGUUCAAAGCAGGCCUUUGCUCGAAUACAUUAGCAUGGAAUAAUAGAAUAGGACGUGCGAUCCUAUUUUGUUGGUUUCUAGGACCGCCGUAAUGAUUAAUAGGGAUAGUCGGGGGCAUCAGUAUUCAAUUGUCAGAGGUGAAAUUCUUGGAUUUAUUGAAGACUAACUACUGCGAAAGCAUUUGCCAAGGAUGUUUUCAUUAAUCAGUGAACGAAAGUUAGGGGAUCGAAGACGAUCAGAUACCGUCGUAGUCUUAACCGUAAACUAUGCCGACUAGGGAUCGGGCGAUGUUUACUAUCUUGACUCGCUCGGCACCUUACGAGAAAUCAAA